rnacentral:rRNA from 1 species
AAACCGUUCGGGGGUAAACGGACAGAGCCCGUGAAUCCGGGCGGUGGAAUUCAGAGUCGAUGGCCGUYUCGCGACGGUUGUCGGUUUAAUAUUUCCAUCGCCGUACGAUUUCGGACGUCGCGACCCGCUUGGUGUCGGUCUUUAGGAGCCGCGUUAAAGUUCGUUUCGGCGCUUCGCUCUCGGGUGGAGUGUCGUUGUGAGUGCGUGGAUUUCCGGCUGACUUGCCAGGCGGUAGAAAGCGGUGAACUCGGUUGUCCGUGUAAGCGGCAGCCGAGCGACCGGUCUGCGACGAAUUUUCGGGUCUCUUUCCGA